GGGCGAUUAGCUCAGUUGGUUAGAGCGCCACCUUUACACGGUGGAUGUCGGGGGGUUCGAGUCCCUCAUCGCCCACCU
rnacentral:tRNA from 1 species